AUUGAACGCUGGCGGCAGGCCUAACACAUGCAAGUCGAACGAGUGGCGGACGGGUGAGUAAUGUCUGGGAAACUGCCCGAUGGAGGGGGAUAACUACUGGAAACGGUAGCUAAUACCGCAUACCAUCGGAUGUGCCCAGAUGGGAUUAGCUAGUCGGUGGGGUAACGGCUCACCUUGGCGACGAUCCCUAGCUGGUCUGAGAGGAUGACCAGCCACACUGGAACUGAGACACGGUACAGACUCCUACGGGAGGCAGAAGUGGGGAAUAUUGCACAAUGGGCGAAAGCCUGAUGCAGCCAUGCCGCGUGUAUGAAGAAGGCUUUCGGGUUGUAAAGUACUUUCAUCGAGGAGGCGUUACUCGAAGAAGAAGCACCGGCUAACUCCGUGCCAGCAGCCGCGGUAAUUC
rnacentral:rRNA from 1 species